CCUACGGGAGGCAGCAGUGGGGGAUCUUGGACAAUGGGGGAAACCCUGAUCCAGCGACGCCGCGUGAGUGAAGAAGUAUUUCGGUAUGUAAAGCUCUAUCGGCAGGGAAGAAAGAAAUGACGGUACCUGAGUAAGAAGCCGCGGCUAACUACGUGCCAGCAGCCGCGGUAAUACGUAGGGGGCAAGCGUUAUCCGGAUUUGCUGGGUGUAAAGGGAGCGUAGACGGUAAUUCAAGUCUGGAGUGAAAGGCGUGGGCCCACCCCCCGGACUGCAUUGGAAACUGUGUAACUGGAGUGCAGGAGAGGAAGGCGGAAUUCCAAGUGUAGCGGUGAAAUGCGUAGAUAUUAGGAGGAACACCAGUGGCGAAGGCGGCCUGCUGGACUGUAACUGACGUUGAGGCUCGAAAGCGUGGGGAGCAAACAGGAUUAGAUACCCCAGUAGUC
rnacentral:rRNA from 1 species